rnacentral:rRNA from 1 species
AGCGAACGCUGGCGGCAGGCUUAACACAUGCAAGUCGAGCGCCGUAGCAAUACGGAGCGGCAGACGGGUGAGUAACACGUGGGAACGUGCCUUUUGGUUCGGAAUAACUCAGGGAAACUUGAGCUAAUACCGAAUAAGCCCUUCGGGGGAAAGAUUUAUCGCCGAAAGAUCGGCCCGCGUAAGAUUAGCUUGUUGGUGAGGUAACGGCUCACCAAGGCUACGAUCUUUAGCUGGUCUGAGAGGAUGAUCAGCCACAUUGGGACUGAGACACGGCCCAAACUCCUACGGGAGGCAGCAGUGGGGAAUAUUGGACAAUGGGCGCAAGCCUGAUCCAGCCAUGCCGCGUGAGUGAUGAAGGCCUUAGGGUUGUAAAGCUCUUUUAGCGGAGACGAUAAUGACGGUAUCCGCAGAAAAAGCCCCGGCCAACUUCGUGCCAGCCGCCGCAGUAA